UACGAAGGGAGCUAGCGUUAUUCGGAAUUACUGGGCGUAAAGCGCACGUAGGCGGGCUGUUAAGUCAGGGGUGAAAUCCCGGGGCUCAACCUCGGAAUUGCCUCUGAUACUGGCAGCGUUGAGUUCGGGAGAGGUUGGUGGAAUUCCUAGUGUAGAGGUGAUAUUCGUAGAUAUUAGGAAGAACACCAGUGGCGAAGGCGGCCAACUGGACCGACACUGACGCUGAGGUGCGAAAGCGUGAGGAGCAAACAGG
rnacentral:rRNA from 1 species